rnacentral:rRNA from 1 species
GACGUAGGGCGCGAGCGUUGUCCGGAUUUAUUGGGCGUAAAGAGCUUGUAGGCGGUUUGUCGCGUCUGCUGUGAAAAUCCGGGGCUCAACCCCGGACUUGCAGUGGGUACGGGCAGACUAGAGUGUGGUAGGGGAGACUGGAAUUCCUGGUGUAGCGGUGGAAUGCGCAGAUAUCAGGAGGAACACCGAUGGCGAAGGCAGGUCUCUGGGCCACUACUGACGCUGAGAAGCGAAAGCGUGGGGAGCGAACAGG